UACGUAGGGUGCGAGCGUUGUCCGGAAUUAUUGGGCGUAAAGGGCUCGUAGGCGGUCUGUCGCGUCGGUAGUGAAAACUCAGGGCUUAACCCUGAGCCUGCUUCCGAUACGGGCAGACUAGAGGUAUGCAGGGGAGAAUGGAAUUCCAGGUGUAGCGGUGAAAUGCGUAGAUAUCUGGAGGAAUACCGGUGGCGAAGGCGGCAUCCUGGACCGGCAUUGACGCUGAUGAGCGAAAGCUAGGGGAGCAAACGGG
rnacentral:rRNA from 1 species